UACGGAGGGUGCAAGCGUUGCUCGGAAUCACUGGGCGUAAAGGGCGUGUAGGCGGUCCUGUGUGUCUGACGUGAAAGCCCCGGGCUCACCCCGGGAAGUGCGUUGGAAACUGCAGGACUAGAGUCCCGGAGAGGAAGGUGGAAUUCCAGGUGUAGCGGUGAAAUGCGUAGAUAUCUGGAAGAACACCGGUGGCGAAGGCGGCCUUCUGGACGGUGACUGACGCUGAGACGCGAAAGCGUGGGGAGCAAACAGG
rnacentral:rRNA from 1 species